CCUACGGGAGGCAGCAGUGGGGAAUAUUGCACAAUGGGGGAAACCCUGACGCAGCAACGCCGCGUGAGUGAUGACGGUCUUCGGAUUGUAAAGCUCUGUUUUCAGGGACGAUAAUGACGGUACCUGAGGAGGAAGCCACGGCUAACUACGUGCCAGCAGCCGCGGUAAUACGUAGGUGGCGAGCGUUGUCCGGAUUUAUUGGGCGUAAAGCAUGCGUAGGCGGAUACUUAAGUGGGAUGUGAAAUCCCGGGGCUCAACCCCGGUGCUGCAUUCCAAACUGGGUAUCUAGAGUACAGGAGAGGAAAGCGGAAUUCCUAGUGUAGCGGUGAAAUGCGUAGAGAUUAGGAAGAACACCAGUGGCGAAGGCGGCUUUCUGGACUGUAACUGACGCUGAGGCAUGAAAGCGUGGGUAGCAAACAGGAUUGGAUACCCGUGUAGUC
rnacentral:rRNA from 1 species